UCACCACUCUGGCCUUCGGGCUUAGAUCAAGUUCAGUAUCUGUUCUUUUGGCUUUAAUCUGCUAAAUGGGGGUUACGGUCUCGCUACAACGAUUGAUAUAUUUUUGACGUCCUGACUGCCACGCCUCUGCUUGCAUGAGUGGCAGUAAGAUAACCUUGCCAAUUCAGUACAGGCAAGCUUUGUCAGGGAAU
rnacentral:snRNA from 1 species